CAUGUCCAGUUUUGUUGGAUCUGUAGAUCGACGUGUAUGUAGUCAGUAGGAUUUAUAAUAUAUAUAAUAUUUGACUAUUUCGUCUUGAAAGUAUAAAAAAUUCAGUUCAUUUUUAGUUUUAAAAAUGGGGGAUGUUCUUAGGCGAGAGGUAUUACAUGUAUUUAAGAAACUACAUCGUACCCGAAUGAAUACUUUUAAGGGUGAUGAACAUGCAUUAAAAGUUAUAAGGGACAAAAUAAAUGAGGAGUAUAAAAAAUAUAAACAUGUUACAAACAGCGCUGCUAUCGAAGAGUUAAACAAAUUUGCAGAAGAAGUAGAACAUGAAGUGAGAACAACUGUAAUACAAGCAGUUGAAACAGAGCCUGGAAGGUUUGAACUUCGCAUUACAAGUGAUACAGCUCUAGUGGAUAAUGUACCCUAUAUGGAUUCAGAGGGACCUGAUCAGAUGAAAAGCGAUAAACAAGACAAUAGUCUAUGUUCAAAUACUUCUUCAAAAAAUAAGGUAAAAUAACGAUAGUGAUAAAAUAUAAAUUAAAAAUAAAUUUUAACUUUGUAAAAACUUAGAAUAUUGUUGAAAAUCACCAAAAAAUAUGUAUUAAUUUAUGAAAAAAUAUAUUUAUGUAGUUUAUUCAAACUAUUUUGUACAUGUUCUUAAUAAUAAUUAUUUUUAAAUAACUUUGGUUCUAAAUCUUUUAUGAGCACUGAAUGGGGUUAAACAUUUUAUUCAGUAUUACAUAAUAUAUAAUAUUAAUCUUACAAUGUAUUACAAUUUAUUGGCAACACCUGUAAUUAAAAGCAGUCAUAAAUAAUUAUAAAUCUAAAUAACAUACAAUAUUUACAAUAUUACAUUUCAUUGCUAAUUCGUUUUUCAUAUUUCUUGAAUAAUUUCUAGACAGAUGUCUAAAGUUGUUAUCUACAUAAAAAUGAUGUUCAUUCGAAAUCAUUUAUUGCAUUUAAUUAUGACUCUUCAGCUCCUUCCACUUUCAUCCUAAAAAAGUGAAUAACUUUUUAAGAACAUUUAAAAAUUAGGUUGGUUAAACAAAUCUUAAUUAUGACUUACUUUAAUAGAACGUUAUUUUAAUGAUGAUGGAUGCAUUAGUAAAUUAUGCCCAAUUAUGUCUCAUCCCGAUAUAAAUGGGUGUUUAAAUUUAUCACAACAGUUUUGUUACUUUUUUUUAAAUUAAACAGGAUCACAACAGUUAAUACAUGUAUAGCGUUUGUGGUGCAAAUCUAGUAAUAUAUUUAGUUUAUGAAAUUAUUAUUUGGGGAAAUAGAGUUAUAAUCAAAUAUAAAAUUAGUUUUAUACUAACAUGUGUUCAGGAUGAUUACGAAUUUGAUCAAUUAAAUCUGCUGGUCUUAAUUGAUCAGUACAGAUGCGAUGUACCGCUGUAAAUAAUGGAAAUUUUUCUAAUAAAUUGUUAGCUUUUAACAUUCCAUUAACUUCAUCAGCUGUAGCUGGUCCUUGUAAUUUCUGACCACCUAGAAGUUCUUCCUCAAGUUGUCUGAUGGUCUGUUAAAAAUAGAUACAAAUAUAUUUUACUAUGUCGCUAAUUUUGAGAAAAUGAAAAUUAAUGCAUUAAUGAAUAUGAUUUAUACUUUGCCACUUUUAACAUAUUGUUCACAAACUCUGCGGUUCCUUCCGCCGUAACAAGUGGUUAUUAAAUCAGCUAUACCACAACUUUCAAAGAACGUUGAAAGUUUGGAACCUUUAUAAAAUGUAUCUAUAAACCUAACCAUUUCCAUUAGGCCUAAUCUGAUAACAGCUGCUUUUGUAUUAUCACCUAAUCCCAUACCAUCUACAAAGCCAGCAGCACAUGCUACAAUAUUCUGAAACAUACAUUACAGGUAUUAAAUACAAAAUAAUACAAAAUUCAUUUUAUGUAAUAAUAUCUAAGUAUAUGUACCUUUAAAGCUCCGCAUACUUCAACUGCUUCACAGUCAUCAACAACCACAACUCUAAAAUUGGGAGUUUGAAUAAGGUCUCUCAGUAAUGGUGCCAGUCGUUUAUCUCUGCAGCCUAUAACAGCAAGAAACAAUUAUAAUGAAUUAUGGAUAUAUUAAAAUUUGCUAGUAUGUACAUCUAACGAUUUUUUGCUGAGUUUAGUUAGUAUCUACACUGCAGGUAAUAACAUAUGAAUUAAUACAUUUAUUAAAGUAUGUUCUACAAAUGAUUAACAGUUACCAAUAGUGGUUUCACAGAAUUUCUCUUCUGCAACUUCAUUAGCCAAGUUGGCGCCCAUCAAGACAUAACAUUGAAUUCUUAAAUUUUGUUCAAUGAUUUUAGAAAUCAGCUGAAUGUUUGAUCCAUCACCUCGAUCAAAACCCUUCGUGAAAAAUCAGGAAUAUUUGGAUCAAAAUGAUGAUCAUCAAAUAAAUCUAGUCUAAUAAUUAAUACCUUAAUUAGGGAUAGACCAACAGCAGUUGGUUUAAUUUUAUCUAAUAAUGUUGCGCAUAGAGUUCGUAUAAAUUGAUGAGGUAUUACAAAAAUAAGGAUAUCUGCAUCUUUUGCAGCUUCGACAACGUCCGGAAUGGCAACCUGAAAGGUACACGUGGAGUAAAUUAUAGAGUUCAUUUAUUACAUAAGAAUUACAUCAUUUAUUUUUAUAACAUUCUUUUUGAUUUUCUAAGUCACAUAUACUCGUGUAAUUUCCUUGUACAUCUGUCAAACAAAUGAAUCAUCAUUGUUGAAAAUAUAUGCAACAUUGUUGCACAUAUUUGCAUAUUUGAAUAUGUAUGAGUGAUUGCAUAAGCAUCAACAAUCUAGAAUUAAUAGAUUUUGUAAAUACAACUUUAAAAGCUGCUUUCUUCCUUUAAAUAUGGAAAAUUAUCAAUAAAAAAGAUACUUGUCAAAUAUUUGUUAUCCUCAAAAUUAUACAUAUAUCACUGAUUCAACCCCUAUCAAGUAAAAACUGGACUAAAAGUAAUCAAUUUGUAAUUUUACCUAUAAUUGUGCAACUUGUAAUUUAAACACGUAGAUUAUUUUUUGAAUGAAAGAAAUCAAGAGCUUAUCAGCUUUACAGCUCAAUGAUUUUAUCACCGGACGUCAACACUUGAAAUUUAAAGAUCUAAUUUCCGCUGUGUUUUAUCUAUAAUGUAGAUGUACGAGGUGUUUGUACUAAUUUGUAAAUUUAAUUAGGAAGCGAAUGAGCAGACCAGGAUUGAUGGGAUGAAACUCGAUUCUGACCCACUUGUCCUAUUGAUGCCUGGAUAUUUCAAAAGUCCCUUAUUAAAGGAUCUGGCAAAGAAAUGGAUGGCAGAAGAGUUUGACAGACUCUGAAAUAGGAUAUAUCCUAGGAAGCUUUUCUAGAGGAAUUGUCACAACAACUAUUUAUGUUUACUCAUUGGAUCAGUAACAGGACACUGGUAUAGAAAAAAGCAUCUGAUACUUAUAGGAUUAAGGGGAGAGUCUAUAUCCUGAAUGCGAGGAAGAAACAUUCCUUCAUCUGAUUAUGUAAUGCUAUUAUAAUAGGAGAGCUUUUAUAGUACUUCUAUGGUACUUAACAUAUUAAGCCUGGAUGAUAUCUAAAAAUAUUGGCUAAUCAUAAGAUUGAUCAGGCAUGAAAGUGAAUGAAAGACAAUUUAGAAGAUAUGGAGCUGCCUGAGCACCAUAAUAUGCUCAAUUGAUACCAUUUCUUGUUGUACAACAAUAUUUACCUAGAAAAUUGAAAAGGCUACUUGAAAAUUGCUUUUCCAAAAGUGAUCAUAAAUACAUAAAGAAGUAUAUUUUGCAAAUUAAAAUUGCAUAUUUCAUUCUGAUAUCAAUAGAUAACAUAUUAGCACCGUUUCCAUACACUAAAGUUAGAUUGGAGUAGUGGGAGAAGUACCCUACACCUACCGACUGUAAUGAUACUACGCAAUUUGUAUAGCACAUGACAUAUGCCGUAUGCGUACUGGUAUAUAACAUCCGUCAGAACACCGCUGCGUUACAACAGAUCUUCACGUGUUAUAUUUCAGAGUACUUUAAUUAGGAACCGACCAUGAGACUUAACUCCAUCCUCCCCAACUUUGAAGCAGAAACAACUCAAGGGCCCAUUAAUUUCUAUACUUGGCAAGGAAACUCCAGGAAUGAGAAAAUAUAAAUACAUAGUUUUCUACAAAGAGUGUGCCCCAGUUGGGUCAUCUCGCCAACGUUUCCGGUGAUCAUAAUAGUGA